UACGUAGGGCGCAAGCGUUGUCCGGAAUUAUUGGGCGUAAAGAGCGUGUAGGCGGCCAGGUAGGUCUGCUGUGAAAACUCGAGGCUUAACCUCGAGCUGUCGGCGGAAACCAUCUGGCUAGAGUCCGGAAGAGGAGAAUGGAAUUCCCGGUGUAGCGGUGAAAUGCGUAGAGAUCGGGAGGAACACCAGUGGCGAAGGCGGCACCCUGGACCAGCACUGACACUCAGGCACGAAAGCGUGGGGAGCAAACAGG
rnacentral:rRNA from 1 species